CAGCAGCCGCGGUAAUACGUAGGGUGCGAGCGUUAAUCGGAUUUACUGGGCGUAAAGCGUGCGCAGGCGGCCCGUUAAGACAGGUGUGAAAUCCCUGGGCUCAACCUAGGAAUUGCGCUUGUGACUGGCGGGCUCGAGUACGGUAGAGGGGGGUGGAAUUCCUGGUGUAGCAGUGAAAUGCGUAGAGAUCAGGAGGAACACCGAUGGCGAAGGCAGCCCCCUGGGCCGGUACUGACGCUCAUGCACGAAAGCGUGGGGAGCAAACAGGAUUAGAUACCCUGGUAGUCCACGCCCUAAACGAUGGGUACUAGCCGUUUGGUGCGCGAUAGCGCUGAGUGGCGAAGCUAACGCGUGAAGUCCCCCGCCUGGGGAGUACGGCCGCAAGGUUGAAACUUAAAGGAAUUGGCGGG
rnacentral:rRNA from 1 species